rnacentral:rRNA from 2 species
UGCAAGUCGAGCGAACUGAUUAGAAGCUUGCUUCUAUGACGUUAGCGGCGGACGGGUGAGUAACACGUGGGCAACCUGCCUGUAAGACUGGGAUAACUUCGGGAAACCGAAGCUAAUACCGGAUAGGAUCUUCUCCUUCAUGGGAGAUGAUUGAAAGAUGGUUUCGGCUAUCACUUACAGAUGGGCCCGCGGUGCAUUAGCUAGUUGGUGAGGUAACGGCUCACCAAGGCAACGAUGCAUAGCCGACCUGAGAGGGUGAUCGGCCACACUGGGACUGAGACACGGCCCAGACUCCUACGGGAGGCAGCAGUAGGGAAUCUUCCGCAAUGGACGAAAGUCUGACGGAGCAACGCCGCGUGAGUGAUGAAGGCUUUCGGGUCGUAAAACUCUGUUGUUAGGGAAGAACAAGUACAAGAGUAACUGCUUGUACCUUGACGGUACCUAACCAGAAAGCCACGGCUAACUACGUGCCAGCAGCCGCGGUAAUACGUAGGUGGCAAGCGUUAUCCGGAAUUAUUGGGCGUAAAGCGCGCGCAGGCGGUUUCUUAAGUCUGAUGUGAAAGCCCACGGCUCAACCGUGGAGGGUCAUUGGAAACUGGGGAACUUGAGUGCAGAAGAGAAAAGCGGAAUUCCACGUGUAGCGG